CAAAUAAAGAUUUGCUUUGCUUUGCUCUGAAUAAACUUUUGCUGUGAUACUCCACUGACUUUUCUCCUGCUUUCAACAAGGAAGCGAACAACUCAUGGGUGAAGCGAAGACUGCCUGUUUCAUCCGUCCUCGAGUUUAUCACUGACAAAAGUUUCUGCAAGUCAAAUGCUUCAAGUUUGCUACCUGCCAUUGAGACAAUUAAAGGAAUGUAUAACAGGCAAAAUGGAAAGUGGAAAAGGCCAGGACCCAGCCCUGCUCAGUGGGACCAUGUGGGCAUGUGCAGAGAGGGUGCUGGAGAACAAAAGGCUAAAGAAAAUGUAAACUCUCUGCAAGCAAGACCAGUUCUGUU